rnacentral:lncRNA from 1 species
CGGGGUGCCCCAUAAGUCCUGGGAAAAUUUGGCGGUUUCGGGGCUCCCCAUAGAUCCAGGAGACACCGGUGGUUUCGAGGUGCCCCAUAGGUCCACAGAGAAAUUGGGGGUUUCAAGGCACCCCAUAGGUCCAGGAGACACUGGCAGUUUUGGGGUGCCCCAUAGGCCCACAGAGAAAUUGGUGGUUUCAAGGCACCCCCAUAGAUCCAGGAGACACCGGUGGUUUCGGGGUACCCCAUAGGUCCACAGAGAAAUUGGGGGUUUCAAGGCACCCCAUAGAUCCAGGAGACACUGUCGGUUUCGAGGCACCCCGUAGGUCUAUCAUGGUUUUGGGGUACCCCAUAGAUCUUUGAAUGUAUUGGCGGUUUCGGGGCUCCCCAUAGGUCCAUGGAGAAAUUGGGGGUUUCAAGGCACCCCCAUAGGUCCAGGAGACACCGGUGGUUUCGGGGUACCCCAUAGGUCCACAGAGAAAUUGGGGGUUUCAAGGCACCCCAUAGGUCCAGGGAGAAGUUGGCAGUUUCGGGGUGCCCCAUAAUUCCUGGGAAAAGACGGUUUCGGGGCUCCCCAUAAUUCCUGGGAAAAGUUGACGGUUUCGGGGCUCCCCAUAGAUCCAGGAGACACCGGUGGUUUCGGGGUACCCCAUAGGUCCACAGAGAAAUUGGGGGUUUCAAGGCACCCCAUAGGUCCAGGGAGAAGUUGGCGGUUUCGGGGCGCCCCAUAAUUCCUGGGAAAAGUUGGCGGUUUCGGGGCUCCCCAUAGAUCCAGGAGACACUGUCGGUUUCGAGGUGCCCCAUAGGUCUAUCAUGGUUUUGGGGUACCCCAUAGAUCUUUGGCUGUAUUGGGGGUUUCGAGGCUCCCCAUAGGUCCAUGGGGACACUGGCAGUUUCGGGGUGCCCCAUAAGUCCUGGGAAAAGUUGACGGUUUCGGGGCGCCCCAUAAUUCCUGGGAAAAGUUGACGGUUUCGGGGCUCCCCAUAGGUCCGGGGAGAAGUUGACAGUUUCGGGGCUCCCCAUAGAUCCAGGAGACACUGGCAGUUUCGGGGUACCCCAUAGGUCCAUAGAGAAAUUGGUGGUUUCAAGGCACCCCAUAGAUCGAGGAGACACCGGUGGUUUCGAGGUGCCCCAUAAGUCCGUGGAGAAGUUGGUGGUUUCGAGGCACCCCAUAGGUCUAUCAUGGUUUUGGGGUACCCCAUAGAUCUUUGAAUGUAUUGUCGGUUUCGGGGCUCCCCAUAGGUCCAUAGAGAAAUUGGGGGUUUCAAGGCACCCCAUAGAUCCAGGAGACACUGGCGGUUUCAGGGCACCCCAAAAUUCCUAAAUACCAUUUUUGGGGCCCAGUCCUAACUAACAUUUUUUGAGGCACCCCAAAACACCUGAUUGGCGGUUUCAAGACCCCCCAAAAUCCCCAAAUGAUGGUUUCAAGGCACCUCAAAGUUCCUAAUUGGCAGUUUCAGGGCACCCCAAAAGUCCUAAAUACCAUUUUUGGGGCCCAGUC